rnacentral:rRNA from 1 species
UCCGGUUGAUCCUGCCGGAGGUUACUGCUAUCGGUGUUCGCCUAAGCCAUGCGAGUCAUAUGUAGCAAUACAUGGCGUACUGCUCAGUAACACGUGGAUAACCUGCCCUUGGGACCGGCAUAACCCCGGGAAACUGGGGAUAAUUCCGGAUAACGCAUAUGUGCUGGAAUGCUUUAUGCGUAAAAUGGAUUCGUCUGCCCAAGGAUGGGUCUGCGGCCUAUCAGGUAGUAGUGGGUGUAAUGUACCUACUAGCCAGCGACGGGUACGGGUUGUGAGAGCAAGAGCCCGGAGAUGGAUUCUGAGACAUGAAUCCAGGCCCUACGGGGCGCAGCAGGCGCGAAAACUUUACAAUGCGGGAAACCGUGAUAAGGGGACACCGAGUGCCAGCAUCAUAUGCUGGCUGUCCAGGUGUGUAAAAUACACCUGUUAGCAAGGGCCGGGCAAGACCGGUGCCAGCCGCCGCGGUAACACCGGCGGCCCGAGUGGUGAUCGUGAUUAUUGGGUCUAAAGGGUCCGUAGCCGGUUUGGUCAGUCCUCCGGGAAAUCUGAUAGCUUAACUAUUAGGCUUUCGGGGGAUACUGCCAGACUUGGAACCGGGAGAGGUAAGAGGUAC